rnacentral:lncRNA from 1 species
AUGUCACCAACCAAGGAGGGCCUACAGCAGCACCUAGAUCUUAUGCACAGAUUCUGUCAGACCUGGGCCCUGACAGUAAAUCUCAGUAAGACCAAAAUAAUGGUGUUCCAAAAAAGGUCCAGUCACCAGGACCACAAAUACAAAUUCCAUCUAGACACUGUUGCCCUAGAGCACACAAAAAACUAUACAUACCUUACCACAGGUAACUUCCACAAAGCUGUGAACGAUCUGAGAGACAAGGCAAGAAGGGCAUUCUAUGCCAUCAAAAGAAACAUAAAUUUCAACAUACCAAUUAGGAUCUGGCUAAAAAUACUUGAAUCAGUCAUAGAGCCCAUUGCCCUUUAUGGUUGUGAGGUCUGGGGUCCGCUCACCAACCAAGACUUCACAAAAUGGGACAAUCACCAAAUUGAGACUCUGCACGCAGAAUUCUGCAAAAAUAUCCUCCGUGUACAACGUAGAACACCAAAUAAUGCAUGCAGAGCAGAAUUAGGCCGAUACCCACUAAUUAUCAAAAUCCAGAAAAGAGCUGUUAAAUUCUACAACCACCUAAAAGGAAGCGAUUCACAAACCUUCCAUAACAAAGCCAUCACCUACAGAGAGAUGAACCUGGAGAAGAGUCCCCUAAGCAAGCUGGUCCUGGGGCUCUGUUCACAAACACAAACACACACUACAGAGCCCCAGGACAGCAGCACAAUUAGACCCAACCAAAUCAUGAGAAAACAAAAAGAUAACUACUUAACACAUUGGAAAGAAUUAACAAAAAAACAGAGCAAACUAGAAUGCUAUUUGGCCCUACACAGAGAGUAUACAGCGGCAGAAUACCUGACCACUGUGACUGACCCAAAAUUAAGGAAAGCCUUGACUAUGUACAGACUCAGUGAGCAUAGCCUUGCUAUUGAGAAAGGCCGCCGUAGGCAGACAUGGCUCUCAACAGAAGACAGGCUAUGUGCUCACUGCCCACAAAAUGAGGUGGAAACUGAGCUGCACUUCCUAACCUCCUGCCCAAUGUAUGACCAUAUUAGAGAGACAUGUUUCCCUCAGAUUACACAGAUCCACAAAGAAUUCGAAAACAAAUCCAAUUUUGAAAAACUCCCAUAUCUACUGGGUGAAAUUCCACAGUGUGCCAUCACAGCAGCAAGAUUUGUGACCUGUUGCCACGAGAAAAGGGCAACCAGUGAAGAACAAACACCAUUGUAA